rnacentral:rRNA from 1 species
CAGCCGUAAACUAUGCGCGUUAGGUGUACUGGUGACCACGAGUCACCGGGGUGCCGAAGGGAAACCGUGAAACGUGCCGCCUGGGAAGUACGGUCGCAAGGCUGAAACUUAAAGGAAUUGGCGGGGGAGCACCGCAACGGGAGGAGCGUGCGGUUUAAUUGGAUUUCAACACCGGAAAACUCACCAGGGGGAGACUGUUACAUGAAACCCAGACUAAUGAUCUUGGUUGAUUUUUCAGAGAGGAGGUGCAUGGCGUCAGUGACU